CAGCAGCCACGGGAAUACGUAGGGUGCAAGCGUUAAUCGGAAUUACUGGGCGUAAAGCGUGCGCAGGCGGUUAUAUAAGACAGAUGUGAAAUCCCCGGGCUCAACCUGGGAACUGCAUUUGUGACUGUAUAGCUAGAGUACGGCAGAGGGGGAUGGAAUUCCGCGUGUAGCAGUGAAAUGCGUAGAUAUGCGGAGGAACACCGAUGGCGAAGGCAAUCCCCUGGGCCUGUACUGACGCUCAUGCACGAAAGCGUGGGGAGCAAACAGGAUUAGAUACCUCCGUAGUCCCUGUCUCUUAUAA
rnacentral:rRNA from 1 species